UCAAGUUGAACGGAUGACUUAGUGGCGGACGGGUGAGUAACACGUAGGUAACCUGCCCAUGUGCCCGGGAUAACUUCUGGAAACGGAUGCUAAAACCGGAUAGGUAGCAGACAAGCAUUUGACUGCUAUUAAAGUGGCCUUGGCCAUGAACAUGGAUGGACCUGCGGUGCAUUAGCUGGUUGGUGAGGUAACGGCCCACCAAGGCGACGAUGCAUAGCCGGCCUGAGAGGGCGGACGGCCACAUUGGGACUGAGACACGGCCCAAACUCC
rnacentral:rRNA from 1 species